rnacentral:rRNA from 1 species
UAGGGUAUCUUCCACAAUGGACGCAAGUCUGAUGGAGCAACGCCGCGUGAGUGAAGAAGGUUUUCGGAUCGUAAAGCUCUGUUGUUGGUGAAGAAGGAUAGAGGCAGUAACUGGUCUUUAUUUGACGGUAAUCAACCAGAAAGUCCCGGCUAACUACGUGCCAGCAGCCGCGGUAAUACGUAGGUGGCAAGCGUUGUCCGGAUUUAUUGGGCGUAAAGCGAGCGCAGGCGGAAUGAUAAGUCUGAUGUGAAAGCCCACGGCUCAACCGUGGAACUGCAUCGGAAACUGUCAGUCUUGAGUGCAGAAGAGGAGAGUGGGAGUCCAUGUGUAGCGGUGGAAUGCGUAGAUAUAUGGAAGAACACCAGUGGCGAAGGCGGCUCUCUGGUCUGCAACUGACGCUGAGGCUCGAAAGCAUGGGUAGCGAACAGG